rnacentral:tRNA from 1 species
GCCUGGGUGGCUUAGUUGGUUGAGCGUCUGACUUCGGCUCAGGUCAUGAUCCGGCGGUUGGUGGGUUCGAGCCCCGCGUUGGGCU